GCUCCUGUGGCCUAGUGGUUAGGGUGUCUGCCUUGGAUGUUGGAGGUCGUGGGUUCGAUCACCGGUCGAGUCAUACCAAAGACU